GACGAACGCUGGCGGCGUGCUUAACACAUGCAAGUCGAACGGAAAGGCCCUGCUUUUGUGGGGUGCUCUAGUGGCGAACGGGUGAGUAACACGUGAGUAACCUGCCCUUGACUUUGGGAUAACUUCAGGAAACUUGGUCUAAUACCGGAUAGGAGCUCCUGCUGCAUGGUGGGGGUUGGAAAGUUUCGGCGGUUGGUGAUGGACUCGCGGCUUAUCAGCUUGUUGGUGUGGUAGUGGCUUACCAAGGCUUUGACGCGUAGCCGGGCUGAGAGGGUGGCCGGCUAAACUGCGCUGGGACUGCGACACAGCCUAGUAUGCGACGCAGGGGUGGGGAAUAGUGCACUGUAGGAGGGGGGAUGAUCUAGUCAAGCAGCGCCGGGGAUGAGGUGAUGCGGGUUGUAAAGCAAUUUUGUCUGAGACGAAGUGAGAGUGACGGUAACGGGUAAAGAAGCACCGGCUAACUCCGUG
rnacentral:rRNA from 1 species